rnacentral:tRNA from 1 species
GCGGGUAUAGUUCAGCGGUAGAACCUCAGCCUUCCAAGCUGAUGACGCGGGUUCGAUUCCCGCUACCCGCUCCA